UUCUUCCUUUUCUCUUUGGACUUUUUAAAAAUAACUGGUUUGUGAGUUCAGACAGAAUUGGGUUCCAGGCUUGGUUCAGGGCCAGGGACUUCUGCAUCUUUUUAACCCCUUCAAAGGCCCAGGAAAGAGGAAGAACCUGAAGAUGAAUGGGGGAGGGGGAGGUUGUACAGAGUACCCUCCAGCUCAGGGUCUACCAUAGUGAGACUGACUGCACAGUGAACAGGUGUACACAGCCUAUGAUCAGGCAAGGGUUUGACAGACACAGGUGGGGAAUGAUUUUACCAUCCACAAUAAAAUAGGGAAAAUAGUUUUUUGAGUACACUGCCAGAGGGCAGCAGUCUGAGGUACAAUUAGAGUCCUGCCUAUCACAUAAUGUUGGAGGGCAGGGUGUCCAUUUUAGGAGAGCACUUUCUGCUAGGAUGAGUGCCUUGUGCGCAAUCGCCUAGCAUGUCAUUCACGACAUGAAAGGGAAUACAGCUCAGAUUGGCCAGCGUACAGUCUAGGAGGUUAACAUGAGUUGCCACACACAUAAUUUCCAGUUUUGCGAUCUCUGGCAUGCAAAUAAGGUCUAUGCAAAUCCUGGUCAUGCAAAUAUGGACAGCCCUGGUUGAUGUCAAAGGUUUGGGUCAUAGGGUACUUGGCUCUGUGAUAUGCAACGUUUUAAGACUGGCAGUUAGGGAUUCCUGGAACAUGCUCAUGAAGAGUCCUUAAUUGGGAGUAGGCUCCAUUUUCUGGUUUCCUAUUAAUGGCCUUCCAUCCACAAAAGACACAGAGAGAAUGAUGGGGUUUCCUAUGCUGUAUGAACUACAGGUACCCCAUCUCUUUUUGGAGCUCAAGGAGCCCCAGGAGUCGUGGCUUCUUCCCUCCUUUGUUGCUUCACGCCUGACAUUGUUAAUCACUUUCCUGCGUGCACUUUGGAUUCUCAGAUCUCUGAAAAUGCUUCUCAACACGGUGCUCCACUUAUCUACCACCAAUUGUGUUUGGCCUUCAAACUGAGACCUUUCUCCCAUCCCGAGACGGGAUCAUCUCCAAGAGACCAACAGGAAUUUCACCAACCGAGGACCAAGUGUUCAGAUAUAUGGAGAUGGAGACCACGGAGCCCACUCUCAUCCAAACCAGCACACCUGGGAACCUAGAAAUCUAUAACACAUUUAUAGAUUUCCUCUGCUCCCAUGGUGCAAGACUAUGAUUCCACUGAUCUUUGUAACCCUGAGAUUCUAAGAUUCACUGGAACAUUGAUGCUCAAAUAUACCAGGAAAUAUUGUCUACCCUCUUCCCCUUACUCCUAGGAAAUAGGUUUUUAAAAUACAGUUUUUUAUUUCUUAUUUUAAAAAACAGAUUAAGAAAAAAACAGUCAAAAACAUCUAUUCCAAUUCUAAGUAAACUAGAGGCAGCACGGGAUCCUUGUGCCCACAGAUAAGCUCUUGGGGAGCCUGGAACGUUGGCACACAGGGCUGUGUAACUGGUGGCUUCUCCUCUGCCCACCAGUUUCCAAAUAACCACUCUGAAACUUAAUAUUAAUUACGAACUGUUGGCCUAUUAUCUCAGGCUUAUUACUAACUAGCUCUUACAACUUAAAUUAACCCAUUUCUAUUAUUCUUUAUUUUACCAUGAGGUUUGUGACUUGCUACCUCAAAUCGUGAUUCUCUGGCAGUUGCUGGCAUCUCUCUGACUCCACUCUUUUUCUCCCUGUAUUCUACCUGACUCUAUUAUGUGUGGCUAUUGGCCAAAUCAGUUUCUUUACUAACCAAUGGCAGAUCAAGGUCAUGAUGAAGAAAUCUACAGAGAGAGCUGAACCAUGCUCAUGGAAACUCAGGAACUCCAGACCAACAGCUGUGGAACUUCCACGGACUGAAUUAGGCCUCCACAUGUGGGAGGCAGUAGCAAAGCUUGGAUUACCUGUGAGGCACCUGGCAGUAGGACCAGGAUCUAUCCCUGGCGCAUGAGCUGGCUUAUUGGAGCCCAUUCCAUAUGGUGGGAUACCAUGCUCAGCCUUAUUGUAUGUGUGUGUAUGUGGGGGAGCUGAUUCUGCCCCAACUUAAUAUGCCAGACUUUGUUGACUUCUCUUGGGAACCCUUACCCACUGGGAGGACUGAGUGGAGAGUGGGCAGGAGGUAGGCAGGGAGGUUGGGAGGGGGUUAGGAGAACUGUGGAUGGAAUGUAAAAUGAAAUUCAAAAAUGAAUUUAAAAAGACAUAUUCACAGCAUACAGAGAGACAUUUCUCAUAAGUGUUGUUCCUUCGAGGGAAGGAAUGCUACACCUGCGACUUCCCAGAAGGCUGGGGAACUGACUUUCUGCCUCCCACGGAUCACCACUCCCCUGGAGGUAAAGUGCAGAGACCCUACAACAUGGAGAAGGAAGCAUGGAUGUUGCCAGCUGGAGAGGCAUAGGAGCUAAUGUGAAAAGAACCCACGAGGAGGGGAACAAAAUUUCUGCCAUAUUAUUGCGUGGUCUUGACUGCAGUGAUGUACUGCCUGGAUCCCUUCCAAGGGGACUAUAAGGAGGAAGAUCCUCUGGACACAUCUCAGCAGGGGGUGCCGUGCCUACAUUUAAUGAGACUGAUUUAGAUACGUGUGCCGCCUCCCCUUUCAAACACCUCAAUUUUAUAAUCAUGCACAGCAAAUAUUCAUUCUCAUCAAUCUGAUUCAGAAAUCCAGUCCAUGCUGCCUCACUCCCAGAGACUACUUAUACAAGAUAAGGGACAUAAUCAACGGGAACUGACUGGACCGGACCUCUCACUGCGCCAGCUCUUACGAUGCCUAUGAUUUUAAAUCCUCAGGACCAAAAUAUGUGUCAACAGUACCAAUUUACGUUUGAGUUCUCAAAGAAUUUCAGAAAAUCUGUUGCUGCCAAUGGCGUGCAUGCUCUAUUUACUGAUACAACAUGGGAGAAUUUACGCAGGGAUAUUGUUACUCCUGGGGACAAUAAGCAAGUAUGUGAAGCUUCCACCCAGGACAAUACUUGAUAUGGAAAGCAAGAUAGUAUGAAGAAUGUGAUGAACAGGCAGAAGGGAACCAUAGCAAUAAUGUCCCUAUCAAUUCUACAUGCUUUGAGGAGGGGGGCAAUAUAGCGAUGCUCUACUACAGACGAAUGGCUUGGCCCAGUGUUUUGACCCAGCACACUUUGUGCACUGCAAGCCCAGAGAAUUGGUCCUGAUCAUGGAGAAACUGCGGACUUGCUGGCCACUAAAACAGAGGUCAGUGAGCCUUGGUGUGAGUUUCCUGUUCAUGUUAAGAGGCUGUAGAAUAGGAAGUAACUCAUGGGGAAGUGGCAGAUAUCCUGAUUCAGGCAGCUCAAGUUUGCUAGAGCCCCCAGAGGGUGCAGAGCUGCUGCAGCACCAGUAAGAUAUGGUGACUUUUCUAAGUGGGUGACAGUCACUCGGGAUGCUGGCAGCCGUCUCACACUGCAUCAGUCACUGCAGCGGCUAUCCACAAAACUGCUCAAAGGGGACCUUGCUUUGAAUGAGGAAAUAAAGGACACAGAAAAAAUUAGUGCAAAAAAAAAAUCUAGUAAUCCAGUCAAUUCAAAUUUGACAAGGAUGGUAAGCCUUUAAACUCCCCAGGGGGCAAUCCCAAGCCCAAGAAUCAAGGGUAAAAUUGACCCAGACAAUCAAAGAUGAACCGGUAAAAAAGUAUCCAGUCAUUCAGAGCUAGUGCAAUGGGAUUAAAUCCCUUUGCUUUAAGGACAAGACAUUUCUCUGAGGAUAGACAUCAUAUGUUGACCUUAUACAUGGAAAACGAUUCCAUUAAAAGUAUUUUAGUUACUGGCGCAGGUCAUUCCGUUAUUAUCAAGAACAGAGACCCCACAUUGCCAAGGUCUAGAGGCCCACCUGUACAAGGUGUUGGCCGCCAACGGGACUCUUUAAAAAGUACUGUCUUAAAUCGGACUGACGAAGAUUCUUCCUCUGGCACUGUGCAGCCUCACAUUGUCCCAGGACGCUCAUAUAAUCUGUGGGGAAGUGAUAUAUUGUAACAAAUGCAAGCAGUGCUUACCAAUGCUACAACAAAUCAUCUGAUAAUUAUAAUACAAGGAAGUACACCCCCUAAUUGGGGUCAUUGAUCAAGGGCCAUCCAUACCGCCUUUAAAAAUACAAUGGGUCUCUGAUGACCCAGUGUGGACUGAUCAAUGGCCCCUUCAUGGGGAAAAAUUAAAACAGGCCCAACUUCUAGAGCAGGAACAAUUACAGCCAGUUCAUAGACCCUUUAGUCAGUACCUGGAAUUCCCCUAUGUUUUGUAAUUCAUAAAAGGAGAAGAAUAAAUUUUUAAAGUUACAUGAUAUCAGGGACAUAAAUGCUACUAUGAAAACAGUGGGUCCCUCCAGCAAGGGCCCUGGCUCCUACUGUGAUCCCUCAAGGACAUUCAGGGUUACAUUUGCCUUAAAAGAUGACCUUUUCCCUAUUCCUUUACAUCAUAAUAAGGAAUGGAUUGCAUUUUCUCUUCCUACGCCAACAGCCAACAAAUGACCUGAUAUCAGUGGAAGUUUCAUCAAAAGGGAUUUCCUAAGCUAUUGUCCAUUCAUUAAGUGGAUGACACUUCGCUCUCCAGCUCAUCUAAUUAGGCCUCAAAUGAGUGCCUAACUUCCAUGGCAAAUGCAAAGAGAACACAAUUUAAACCUGGUUCCAGAUAAAAUGAAAAGCAAUCCCUUUACAAUUAUUUAGGAUGUUAUUACACAACAAGUUCUCCAUCAUCCUCUGCUUAGAACUUCCCAAACAAUUUUCCCUUGGUUACUUACAAAAACGUUUAAGCCAUAUCACUUUGGUACGUCCUUAUCACUAUCACUACUAAAGAUUUGGCUGUGUUCUUUAUGUUACUUUCCAGAGAUUGUCAGUUAUACUUGAUAAGAAACCUAAAACUCGAAAGCAAAGGGAGUUAUUAGUUUAUUAAAUAAUGUUGCUGAUAAAAGUGGUCUCUUACUUCCUUAUCUAUGACUUGUUCAUCCUUCCUCCUCAUCACCUACUGGGAUUACAGACCAACAAGGUAAUGGUAUUAUAGAAAUUUAUGCAUGUCAUAAUUAUCUGCAACUCCUUAUUUACAAGAAAUGAUACACUUGAUAAUGGUGGGAAGGACACUUCUUAAACAAUUUGCUGGUGCAGAGCCUACAGAAAUCACUGUGCCAUUGAAUAAAAUACAGGUUGAUUAUUUGUUUCACCCUGAUAAUAAUUGGCAGGUAAUAUUAUCAUGUUCCUCGGGAUCUGUAGAUAAUCAUUAAUCCAAAGAUCUCCUUUUAAGAUUUUUUGAAGAUACCCCACGAGUAUUACCUACAAUUACAACUAAUGAAUCCUACAGAGAUGCCAUUUAAUGCUGUUACAGAUGUUUCUUCAAGAGGACAAGGAGUUUAUGUUCUAUAUACAGAUUCUGCAGCCUCCACAAAAUAAAUGGUACCCACCUCAGUUGCCUUCCCUCACAGAAAUCAAUCAGCUUUUAUUAGAUGUUUCUCAGGUAUUGAAUAUUGUAACUGAUUCUGUGGAUUGUGCCCAAACCAUUUCUCUAUUAGAAGCUCCAAGACUUAAACCCAAGCCCACUACUAAUGUUAUUUCGUAAUUAUUUCUCUCCCUUCAGAAAUCUAUAUGAUAAUGAACUCAACCUUUUUCAUAAUUCAUAUUCCUGCUCACUCUAAUUUGCCAGGUCCGUUAGCAUCCGCUAAUGCUCAAGAUGAUGCGCUGGCUGCUUCCUUGCCCCUAGUACUUUCCUUAAAGGCCACUCAAAAAUCUCAAGAACUUCUUCAUCAAAAUGAAAAAUCGUUACAAGUACAAUUCUCUUUACCCCAUGAACAAGCACAACACAUCAUUCAGGCCUGAUCUUUUUCUUCUUUCACCCCACUGCCCUCUGCUGGCGUAAUUAAUCCUCAAGGAUUAAAAUCCAGUGCCAUUUGGCAAACAGAUAGCUCAGAAAUUUGAAAUUUAAAAUAUGCUCACGGAACAGUUGAUACUCGUUCUACUAUGAUUGUUACCUCUGUUCACAGGGUGAACAACAUCUUGGUUGCCACCAAUCAUCUAUUAUACACUGUUGCUUUUCUAGAAUUUCCAUUACAGCUAAAAACUGACAAUGGUCCUGCUUACAUUAGCAAGUGCUUUAAGGAAUUUUGCAAUAUAUGGAAUAUUAAUCAUGUUAGUGAAAUCCCUUGCAACCCACAGGGUCAAGUUAUUGUGGAAUGACACCGUCUAAUGCUUAAACGGCAAAUUUUUAAAAAUGGAGUUUAUACACCCACCUAAAUCCCUACAUAUUACGCUACUUUUAGCCAUGUUUACUUUAACGUUUUGUACUUUAAAGAAUAUUGCUUCUUUGGCUGCCCAAAGCAUUUAUCUCUAAAGGAGACACAUCCUAAAUUAUUUGUUAAAUGAAAAUGUCUAGAAACUAAUCCGUGGAAAUGACUUAGUUAUUCUAACAUCAGCGAGGUUAAGCUUAUGUCUUUCCAAAGAUGAGGUCCCAGAUGGCUCCAGCUACAGUACACCUGACCAGGACAGCACUGACUUAGAGACACAUUAAGACUUUAACUCAUCUAGUCAAGACCUUGGAAAGACAAUAGGACACUAUACUCUUGACCCCAAAAUGAUGCUGUUAUAGUUACUAACUAUAUGACAUGCUAAUUCUCAGUUUGUCACUAUAGAAUCUAAAUGCCAGUGAGAAGAAAAGUUAUGCCCUUAUAGAAGACAGUGCAAUGCUGUUUUGCCAUGCUAAGGAUUUUUUUUACACUUUUUUUAAAAAGAAUUACCAGUACCAGACAUGAUUACUAGAAUGCAAAAGAGGUUUCAAAAAUGGCCUGCAUGCUUAGUGACACUGAUAACAUUACAGCAAACAAGUUAGCAGAAAUCAACCAAGAAAUGGGUGAGUUGAGAACCACAGUUUUACAAACCAGAGCUUGUUGUGGGCUAUUUGUACACUGGGAAGAUGUAUUGCUGUGACUGAUGUAAUUAAAAACUGAAAGGCCAAUAGCUAGGCAGGAGGUAUAGGAAGGAUUUCCGAGGAGCGAAAGGAAGAGCAGGAGAAAUCUAGGUGUACGGGAGAAGCCAGAAAACAUGGAGAGGAAACAGGAGGUGUGAGAUGGAAGAGAGGUGACUGCACAUGACAGGAUGUAGAGUAAUAUAAAUGGGUUAAUUAAAUUGUAAGAGUGAGUUAAGAACAAGGCUAAGCUAUAGGUCAAGCUUUAUAAUUAAUAAGUCUCUGUGUCAUUAUUUGGGAGCUGGCUGGAGGGACAGAAAAAAGACUCAUUACAAGAGCUACUACUAUAGAUUAUUUGUUGCUCAAGCACAAUCUUAAUUGUCAACAAUUUCCUGGCAUGUGUUGCUUUAAUAUGACAGAUUUUCAGAUUUUUCUCAUAGUAUUGAUGAUCAAAUUAAUGAUCUGCAAAAAGAGAUAAACCAAGUCUCUCAAAUGACCUCUGAAUGGCCAUUAUGGUUAAGAUGACUUUCUCCUUUCCUUGGUCCUCUGCUGUCUGUUCUUAUAGUUCUGCUUUGCUUGCUUGUAAUAGUGAGAGUAGCCAUGCAGGUAAUGGAUAGCACCUGAGCCUCUACUAUACCUUGAAAAUAAAAAGUGGGAGAUGCGGGAAGUACGGAAGUCCUUGUGCUCAUAGAUAAGCCCUAGGGAACCUGGAAUGUUGGCAUACAGGGUCAUGUCUUCAAGGGAAGUGAUACUACACCUGCUAUCCACUGGGAAGACUGGGGAAAGAUGUGCUUUCGAGCCUGGUGUGAAGGGUGACCACAUCUGACACUUCCUCAGACACUUCUCAUAGACUUAUUUGUCCCAGUCAAACUACAGAACCCAUCUUUAUGGACGACAUCACAUGUAAUUUACAAAGAGUUUCAAUGAAGUCGUGCCCAAUCCUUGUUUUGCGUACUUUGCUCCUCAAAGAGUCUUAUGUAUGCUUUGUUAUGCAUGUGGGAUUAAGUUAAUUGUAAGCAGGAAAGUUUUCACCAAAUUGUGCUGUGCUUAAAUAUGCCUAAACUAAACACUUGGGGGCAGACUCUCAA